AACCUAUUAGCUCAAAUGGUAGAGCACUAUGCAUAUGCAUAUGCAUAUGCAUAUGGGAUGUAGGUUCGAUUCCUACAUAGGUUG
rnacentral:tRNA from 1 species